UCUCAGUGACAUGGCUUCUUCUGAACCCCCCUGUGGCCUCAGUAGCAGAAAAGUGAAGAGGACCAUGACAGAGA